rnacentral:rRNA from 1 species
CAUAACCCCGGGAAACUGGGGAUAAUUCCGGAUAACGCAUAUUUGCUGGAAUGCUUUAUGCGUCAAAAGGAUUCGUCUGCCCAAGGAUGGGUCUGCGGCCUAUCAGGUAGUAGUGGGUGUAAUGUACCUACUAGCCAGCGACGGGUACGGGUUGUGAGAGCAAGAGCCCGGAGAUGGAUUCUGAGACAUGAAUCCAGGCCCUACGGGGCGCAGCAGGCGCGAAAACUUUACAAUGCGGGAAACCGUGAUAAGGGGACACCGAGUGCCAGCAUCAUAUGCUGGCUGUCCGGAUGUGUAAAAUACAUCCGUUAGCAAGGGCCGGGCAAGACCGGUGCCAGCCGCCGCGGUAACACCGGCGGCCCGAGUGGUGAUCGUGAUUAUUGGGUCUAAAGGGUCCGUAGCCGGUUUGGUCAGUCCUCCGGGAAAUCUGAUAGCUCAACUAUUAGGCUUUCGGGGGAUACUGCCAGACUUGGAACCGGGAGAGGUAAGAGGUACUACAGGGGUAGGAGUGAAAUCUUGUAAUCCCUGUGGGACCACCUGUGGCAAAGGCGUCUUACCAGAACGGGUUCGACGGUGAGGGACGAAAGCUGGGGGCACGAACCGGAUUAGAUACCCGGGUAGUCCCAGCCGUAAACGAUGCUCGCUAGGUGUCAGGCAUGGCGCGACCGUGUCUGGUGCCGCAGGGAAGCCGUGAAGCGAGCCACCUGGGAAGUACGGCCGCAAGGCUGAAACUUAAAGGAAUUGGCGGGGGGAGCACAACAAACGGGUGGAGCCUGCGGUUUAUUUGGACUCAACGCCCGGACAACUCACCGGGGGGCGACAGCAAUAUGUAGGCCAAGCUGAAGACUUUGCCCUGAAUCGCUGAGAGGAGGUGCAU